rnacentral:rRNA from 1 species
GACGAACGCUGGCGGCGUGCCUAAUACAUGCAAGUCGAACGCACUCUCGUUUAGAUUGAAGGAGUUUGCUCCUGAUUGAUAAACAUUUGAGUGAGUGGCGGACGGGUGAGUAACACUUGGGUAACCUGCCCUAAAGUGGGGGAUAACAUUUGGAUACAGAUGCUAAUACCGCAUAAAACCUAAAACCGCAUUGUGUAGGAUUGAAAGAUGGUUUCGGCUUUCAUUUUCGAAUUGAUCCGCGGUGCAUUAGUUAGUUGGUGAGGUAAAGGCUCACCAAGACAGUGAUGCAUAGCCGACCUGAGAGGGUAAUCGGCCACACUGGGACUGAGACACGGCCCAGACUCCUACGGGAGGCAGCAGUAGGGAAUCUUCCACAAUGGACGAAAGUCUGAUGGAGCAACGCCGCGUGAGUGAAGAAGGUGUUCGGAUCGUAAAACUCUGUUGUUGGAGAAGAAUGUAUCUGAUAGUAACUGAUCAGGUAGUGACGGUAUCCAACCAGAAAGCCACGGCUAACUACGUG